rnacentral:rRNA from 2 species
GUUAAUUAAGUCAAAUGUGAAAUCCCCGAGCUUAACUUGGGAAUUGCAUUCGAUACUGGUUAGCUAGAGUAUGGGAGAGGAUGGUAGAAUUCCAGGUGUAGCGGUGAAAUGCGUAGAGAUCUGGAGGAAUACCGAUGGCGAAGGCAGCCAUCUGGCCUAAUACUGACACUGAGGUGCGAAAGCAUGGGGAGCAAACAGGAUUAGAUACCCUGGUAGUCCAUGCCGUAAACGAUGUCUACUAGCCGUUGGGGGAUUUGAUCCUUUAGUGGCGCAGCUAACGCGAUAAGUAGACCGCCUGGGGAGUACGGUCGCAAGACUAAAACUCAAAUGAAUUGACGGGGGCCCGCACAAGCGGUGGAGCAUGUGGUUUAAUUCGAUGCAACGCGAAGAACCUUACCUGGCCUUGACAUAGUAGAGACUUUCCAGAGAUGGAUUGGUGCCUUCGGGAAUCUACAUACAGGUGCUGCAUGGCUGUCGUCAGCUCGUGUCGUGAGAUGUUGGGUUAAGUCCCGCAACGAGCGCAACCCUUUUCCUUACUUGCCAGCAUUUCGGAUGGGAACUUUAAGGAUACUGCCAGUGACAAACUGGAGGAAGGCGGGGACGACGUCAAGUCAUCAUGGCCCUUACGGCCAGGGCUACACACGUGCUACAAUGGUCGGUACAAAGGGUUGCUACACAGCGAUGUGAUGCUAAUCUCAAAAAGCCGAUCGUAGUCCGGAUCGCAGUCUGCAACUCGACUGCGUGAAGUCGGAAUCGCUAGUAAUCGCGGAUCAGAAUGCCGCGGUGAAUACGUUCCCGGGCCUUGUACACACCGCCCGUCACACCAUGGGAGUUUGUUGC